UACGUAGGGUGCAAGCGUUAAUCGGAAUUACUGGGCGUAAAGCGUGCGCAGGCGGUUCUAUAAGACAGAUGUGAAAUCCCCGGGCUCAACCUGGGAACUGCAUUUGUGACUGUAGAGCUGGAGUGCGGCAGAGGGGGAUGGAAUUCCAGGUGUAGCGGUGAAAUGCGUAGAUAUCUGGAGGAACAUCGGUGGCGAAGGCGGCAUCCUGGACCGGUAUUGACGCUGAGGCGCGAAAGCCAGGGGAGCAAACGGG
rnacentral:rRNA from 1 species